UACGUAGGGGGCAAGCGUUGUCCGGAAUCAUUGGGCGUAAAGAGCGCGUAGGCGGUCCGGUAAGUCCGCUGUGAAAGUCAAGGGCUCAACCCUUGAAAUGCCGGUGGAUACUGUCGGGCUAGAGUCCGGAAGAGGCGAGUGGAAUUCCUGGUGUAGCGGUGAAAUGGCGCAGAUAUCAGGAGGAACACCAUGGCGAAGGCAGCUCGCUGGGACGGUACUGACGCUGAGGCGCGAAGCGUGGGGAGCAAACAGG
rnacentral:rRNA from 1 species